CCANAAGGUUAAAACCCAAAGGAAUUGACGGGGGCUUACACAAGCGGUGGAGCAUGUGGUUUAAUUCGACACAACGCGCAAAACCUUACCAAUUUUUGACAUAGAAAAGAAUGCAUAUUUUUUGUGCUUUUUAUUUUCUACAGGUGCUGCAUGGCUGUCGUCAGUUCGUGGCGUGAGCUGUUGGGUUAAGUCCUAGAACGAACGCAACCCUCGGGUUCUUUGCUUUGAAUCAUUGAACUAACUGCCUUUGAGAUAAAGGAGGAAGGAGAGGAUGACGUCAAGUCCGCAUGGCCCUUAUGAAUUGGGCUACACACGUGCUACAAUGAUGAUGCCAAAAAGAUGCAAUUUGGUCACAAGGAGCAACCCUUUAAACAUCAUCUUAGUGCAGAUUGGUCUCUGCAACUCGAGACCAUGAAGUCGGAAUCGCUAGUAAUCGUAGAUCAGCAUGCUACGGUGAAUUUGUAUCUAAGCCUUGUACACACCGCCCGUCACACUCUGAAAGUGAAUUGUACUCAAAAAAAUACAUUUAUUUGAGUUUUAACAUAAAAAGUACCAGAAACAAAAAAGACUUGUUGAUGUUCGACUCUGGUAGAUAUUUUUACAGUAUUGUUUAUAAUUGUAGUG
rnacentral:rRNA from 1 species